GAGCCGGUAACCGGCGUUACCUCUAGUUCCCGGAAGACAACGAGCAGACUGUCUCUGGCGACGAGUAGUCCGGGCCGUGACCGGUGGAGGGAGAUGUGCUUCAGAUGACUCCGGAAUUUUGAGCGGCGGUGAUUCCAAGAACUCCACAAGGCCGAUACACUCUUCCUAUCAAGCUGCUCAUGAGCUGUCAUAGCCCUGAGGAGCACUGAUAUGUUCCGACCUGGGUGAGAACCCUUGGAGACUUCGGCUGCAAUCAACAAACCCGGACUGCAGGAAAGCCACGGACCACAGACGGAGAUGUUGGAGACGGAGCAGGACAGAUGUCUGACAGACUGCACCUCCCGCUCCCUCCGGUCCGCCCGACGUGAUGAUGAGCGGCACACGGCAGAAAGCUCCCGAGCUGGGAUUUUGUCACGUGAGGGCAAAAAACACAUUUUCCCUCUUGUUCGAAUGGCUCCAAGAGCCUCACUUACCCGGCACUCUGCCCAGAACGAGCGACUUGAUGCUGCUGAACUCCACAUCAGACGACAAGUUGAAGUCCUCUCUGGCAUUCUGGUCAAUCUGAAAGAUAAUUCAAGGGGCAAACACCUGGAUUCAUAGCGGACACCUAAAUGCCUGGAAUCUUGUUCCUGUUGAUCGGCUCAGAGCGUCACUCGAACGUCGAUUAUCGCGUACCAUAUUAAGACACGGCGUCCGCCCGUCUCCCGAUGGUCACCGUGUGCAGACGUCCAUCAGCCAGGCUGGUAACUCCGCUGGCCAGCACCUCCACGUCCCUGCUGCUGUGCAGCUUGUACCUCAGCUCCAACCCGUCUUUGAAGGAACAAAACAACAAUGAGUCAAGACUUCAUUCGUUCAAAAAUGUCCAGUCGCGUCACAAGUUGAAAAACCUGAAGCUAAUAGCCGUGCAUCUGGGAGUCGGCGUAGAGCAGCAGAGCCGGACUCUGGAGGGUCCUGAAGCUCAGCGAGACGUUCUCCCCCCUCGGCGACGUGUCGGAGUGGACGGACGGAGGCGGGACGCUGCCGUUGCUGCUCAGCUCGUGCGGCGGACGGAGGAUGUAGGCGACGGACAUUGUCGACUUGAAGCUGGCGGCCACCUCUGAGAGUUGAACAAGUUCGAGGGAGGCGUCAGCCGUGGAGCCCAUUGGUCAACCACGUCCCAAUGCUGCUAGUACUUUGCCAAUUGUGUUGUGAGGGGAGAGUGUAAUCACUGCAUGGAUUUUGUUAACUGGUCAUUUCCUUUCUAGAGAAGAUGGUGGACUUUUUCUUUUUUGUUUACAAUAUGUCCUUUGGAGGUGUUGGUGUACAAAAUGCAGCACUGAAAUGGCAGUUGUUCACAUCUGUGUGGUUACAUUUAGGCAACAAAAGAGUUUCUGAUACAGUCUAUUUAGGGAAAUAUGGAUACAGACCUAAAAGCAUAGCCAUAAUAAAGUAUUGGAUGCUAUUAGAUAUGAUGGCAGAACAACUGAAAACAUUGUCACUGUUCCUUCUCCAAAAACAUUAAGUGUAAACAUUUUGUGACUUGGCAGUUGUUGAUGACUUGUGGAUGGAAAAUUGGGGGAGAUCGCAUUUCUCUGAUUUACAAUUUGUAGGAAGAUUGAGCACGCAUCAUUUUCAGGAGGCAGAGUGAACCUGCCUUUAUUUUUGGUAUUUAACUCGGGCUUUUGUCUGCCGCUCCUUUCUGUUGACUGUAAUAUCUACGGCAAUAUCCUCUGAAACUGCCUGUCACUUGUCCAGAUGAGGAAGAUAAGAAAUGGGAUUAGCUUAAUCUGGCCGGUCUACAUCAAAUGAAUUCCCUCGUCUCGUCAGUGUGUCGUACCGUAAAAGACUGGGCAAUUACACUUUCUCAGUUGUUAAUUCAUUGCAAUUAUCGUGUUAGCCAUGUCAUGUUCUAUCAUGAUACGGGCCAGGGGCUUCAGUUGAUGUUCACAUGGCUGAUUGUUGGUGUCAGACAGGCUGGUUGGAGUGUUUCUGACACAGAUCCCCCGAGUACAUUUACAGUCUGGGCAGCUUUCUCCAAAUGGUGCAAAAAAAGAAACCCCAACAAACGAUCAGUUCUACGGAUGGAAACGCCUUGUAAAACUUCAAUGCAUGCCUCCUCGGAUUGGUGCAUCUUCUGGACCAACGUUCUGUACAGCACGGUGUACAGAACUCGAGCAGGGGGAGGUUGUACUGAGCUUUGGGCUCGUCGUCG